UUGGGGAAUUUUCCGCAAUGGGCGCAAGCCUGACGGAGCAAGACCGCGUGCGGGAGGACGGCCUAUUGGUUGUAAACCGCUUUUGAUAGGGAAGAAGUUCUGACGGUACCUAUCGAAUCAGCAUCGGCUAACUCCGUGCCAGCAGCCGCGGUAAUACGGAGGAUGCAAGCGUUAUCCGGAAUUAUUGGGCGUAAAGCGUCCGUAGGUGGUUGUUCAAGUCUGCUGUUAAAGCGUGCGGCUUAACCGCAUACUAGCGGUGGAAACUGGAUGACUAGAGUGCGGUAGGGGUCGGGGGAAUUCCCGGUGUAGCGGUGAAAUGCGUAGAUAUUGGGAAGAACACCUGUGGCGAAAGCGCCUGACU
rnacentral:rRNA from 1 species